AUGAUCAUAUCGCGUUGAAACACCGCUUCCCGUUCGAUCACCGAAGUUAAGCAAUGUGGAGCCUGUUCAGUACCUACUUGGGUGACUGCUUG